AUGGCGCGGGCGCGGCUGGUGAAAGAGCGCCCCGCGAGCACGCCGGCGGACCGGAGGCGGCCGAUCCACUUUGCCGCCUUCCUGCUGCUCGCCGACGCCGCGCUCGUCGCCCUCAUCGUCGCCUUCGUCCCCUAUACCAAGAUCGACUGGGACGCCUACAUGUCUCAGGUGGACGCUUUUCGGGAGGGGGAGAGGGACUACACCAAGAUCGAGGGCGACACCGGGCCGCUGGUCUACCCGGCCGGCUUCCUCUACGUCUACUCCGCCAUCAAGUUCCUCACUGCAGGCCAAGUGUUCCCUGCUCAGAUUCUGUUCGGCGUCUUGUACCUUGUCAACAUGAGCCUUGUUCUGCUGCUCUACGUCAAGACUGAAGUGCUUCCUUGGUGGGCUUUAGGUUUGCUUUGCUUAUCAAAGCGAGUUCACUCCAUCUUUGUGCUCCGUCUUUUCAACGAUUGCGUUGCCAUGACGUUGCUCCAUGCUGCUAUGGUCUUGAUUGUCUAUCACAAGUGGUACCUCGGCCUAAUUAUUUUCAGUGGAGCUGUCUCAGUUAAGAUGAACGUGCUCCUUUUUGCUCCAUCUUUGUUUCUACUAAUGUUGAAGGCCAUGAGUAUCAAAGGAGUUUUUCUUGCUUUGUUGGGAGCUGCAGGAGUACAGGUUUUGUUGGGUAUCCCAUUCUUAUUGUCGCAUCCUGUUGAGUACAUCUCAAGAGCUUUCAAUCUUGGGCGUGUCUUCAUCCAUUUCUGGUCUGUCAACUUUAAGUUUGUUCCUGAGAAGUAUUUUGUAUCAAAAGAGCUAGCUAUUGGGUUAUUGAUUUUUCACCUCACUACUCUUAUGGUGUUUGCACACUACAAGUGGUUUAAGCAUGAAGGUGGUUUGUUCCAUUUUGUGCAUUCCAGAUUUAGAGAUGCUACAUCAAUUCAACAGCUCAUUUCGUGCAAGCCCAGACAGUCCAUUCUCAGUAAAGAGCAUAUUGUGACUGUGAUGUUUGUUGGAAACUUCAUUGGCAUUGUGUGUGCCCGUUCAUUACAUUACCAGUUUUAUUCUUGGUACUUCUAUUCAUUGCCUUUUCUGUUGUGGAGAACAAAGUUUCCAACAGUAGUAAGGAUAAUUUUAUUUGUUGCCGUCGAGCUCUGCUGGAACGUUUAUCCUUCUACCGCCUAUUCGUCACUACUUCUGUUGUUCGCGCACCUCUUCAUCUUGUUCGGCCUAUGGAGUUCGCCUGCCGAGUACCCCUAUGUCGAUAAAAAGGAAAAGGCGGACAGUAAAGAAUCGGGCAAGGCAAUGUGA
rnacentral:rRNA from 1 species